CUGAGCUUCCCCCCGCCCCCGCCGUGGGCUCCUGUGCGGCCCGAGCCUCCCCGACGAGCGCCGCCCCCUGCUCCACGAUGCCCAGUCCCAUCGACCACCCAAGGGCUGAGGAGUGCGGGCUCACGGUUACAGGAUUCCCAUUUCAGAACUACGACCAUUUGAAAAAUAGAAGAUUUAAAGAUUGACGCAAAGUGCAUGUACCAUGAUACACCAGGUCUCAUCUCCUGAAUAUUUGUCCUGCCCUGAGUUUUCACCUGAGGCCACCUGUACAACUGACUAGAGUAGUUCCACUGAUUGCUAAAAUGGAACAGGCAGGAUUGGUAUUGACUGUCCAAGAGCAAAGUCAGAUACAGGUAGUCAACUGUCUCAUCAUCUUAGACUUUCAUGAGUUCUCACCAGGAGAU
rnacentral:lncRNA from 10 species